rnacentral:rRNA from 1 species
CCAAAAACCUAGCCUAACACCUACUAACACACCAACUUAUUAACCAAAAUAUUUUAACAAUUUAGUAAAGAAGAUUAAAAAAUUUAUUAGAGCUACAAAUAUGUACCGCAAGGGAAAUGUGAAAUAGUAAUGAAAUACUUAUAAAGCAUAAAAAAGUAGAGUUAAACCCUCGUACCUUUUGCAUCAUGGUUUAAUUAGUUAAAUCAAGCAAAAAGAAUUAUAGUCUGACACCCCGAAACUAAGUGAGCUACUCUAGGACAGCUUAAUGAGCCAACCCUUCUCUGUUGCAAAAGAGUGGGAAGAUCUUAGGGUAGAGAUAAUAUACCUAACGAACUUAGCAAUAGCUGGUUAUUCAGGAAAAGAAUUUUAGUUCAACCUAAAGCUACAACAAUAUUUAAAAUAUACACUUAGCCUUAGAGUUAAUCAGACAGGUCACAGCCUAUCUGAAACAGGAUACAGCCUCCACCUAUGGGUAAUAUAGACACAAAUAAUUAAGUAGGCCUAAAAGCAGCCACCUUUCAAACAGCGUCAAAGCUUAAUCAUAAUAUUUAACAAAUCCCCUAAACAAGUUAAAACCCUACCCCAAUACUGAAUAAUUCCAUACAUCUAUGGAAGCUAUUAUGUUAAAACUAGUAACAUGAAGAUAUCUUCUCUUAAAUAUAGACGUAGGUCAGAACGGACCACACACUGACAAUUGACAGCUUAAACUAAAGUGAUAACAACCCAAGAAAAUCUCACUAACCCAUCUGUUAACCUAACACAAGAAUAUUUAAAGAUGACAUAAAGAAAAAGAAGGAACUCGGCAAAAGCUGAUUCCGCCUGUUUACCAAAAACAUCGCCUCCUGAAUAUAGAUCAUAGGAGGUCCAGCCUGCCCAGUGACCCUGUUUAACGGCCGCGGUAUCCUAACCGUGCGAAGGUAGCGUAAUCACCUGUUUUUUAAUUAAAGACCUGUAUGAAAGGCAUCACGAGAAUCACACUGUCUCCUUUUUCAAGUCAGUGAAACUAAUCUCCUCGUGAAAAAGCGAGGAUGCCCCUACAAGACGAGAAGACCCUUUGGAGCUUAAGACAAAUAAAUAUCUGCCCACUUAUACUUUUCCCCCACACCUCACAGCAUUAUAUUUAUAAGUCUUGGGUUGGGGCAACCGCGGAAUAAAAACAAACCUCCAAGCUGAACGGAAACUUCCUAAACAAAAAGCAACAACUUUAUGUAUCAAUUAACUGACACAAUUUGACCCAAUAUAUUUUGAUUAACGAACUAAGUUACCCUAGGGAUAACAGCGCAAUCCACUUCAAGAGUUCAUAUCGAAAAGUGGGCUUACGACCUCGAUGUUGGAUCAAGGUACCCUGGUGGUGCAGCCGCUACCAAAGGCUCGUUUGUUCAACGAUUAAAACCUCACGCGAUCUGAGUUCAGACCGGAGAAAUCCAGGUCAGUUUCUAUCUGUAAAGAGCUCUCUCCAGUACGAAAGGACAGAAAUAGCAUGGCCAAUAUAUACUACAAGCCAUAUCUGGUAACUUCUGAUUUAUCUUAAAAAAUUAUCUCCCUCCUACUU